rnacentral:lncRNA from 1 species
AAGAAAUGUUAAGAAAUGUUUAAUCAUUUAUUUGUUUUUAGGUGUCAUGUGAUCCACUUGGGGUGUAUUCUUGCACAUCAUAGCAAAUCAUAGCAAAACGUAGGAAAACGUUUUGCAAUGAAAACGAGAGUUUCUUAUUGUACAAGUUCAGGGUAAUAAGCCGUUUUUAAUGAGAUCUGUGGAAAUGAAUCCCUCCCUCCACCUAAACUUCACCUACCUAUUCAUUCUAUUAAAAGGCCCAGUGGAUAAUACAACGGUGUCAAAAACGAGGGACAACUUCCCUCUUAGACUGCCUGCCAAUCACCAAGAAACAACAGAAUAUGCAGCAUACUUAGGUGACGAGGAGACAUCUGCUAUCCUGGAAUGCUCUUAUCUGUUUUCCUGCUGUUCUGUAGACAGCACAGCAGCAGAUGCAUUAGUGCUAUGCUUGCUGAGGAGUGAUGGAGUGAUGGAAAACGUGAUAUUAAAGCAGCUGGAUUCAACUACUAAAUCCCACUAACGUCAGACUUGGUCUGAAUCAGACCUCGGGC